rnacentral:rRNA from 1 species
AUACUGAGUGGCAAACGGGUGAGUAUAAUGUGGGAAUCUGCCUUUUGGUUUGGAAUAACACGGGGAAACUUGUGCUAAUACCGAAUAAGCCUUUACAGGGAAAGUUUUAAUGCCGAAAGAUGAGCCCGCACUUGAUUAGCUAGUUGGUAAGGUAAAAGCUUACCAAGGCAAUGAUCAAUAGCUGUUCUUAGAGGAAGACCAGCCACAUUGGGACUGAGACACGGCCCAGACUCCUACGGGAGGCAGCAGUGGGGAAUCUUGCACAAUGGGGGAAACCCUGAUGCAGCGAUGCCGCGUGAGUGAAGAAGGCCUUUGGGUUGUAAAACUCUUUCGUCGGGGAAGAAAAUGACUGUACCCGAAUAAGAAGGUCCGGCUAACUUCGUGCCAGCAGCCGCGGUAAUACGAAGGGACCUAGCGUAGUUCGGAAUUACUGGGCUUAAAGAGCUCGUAGGUGGUUAAAAAAGUUGAUGGUGAAAUCCCAAGGCUCAACCUUGGAACUGCCAUCAAAACUUUUUAGCUAGAGUGUGAUAGAGGUAAGUGGAAUUUCUAGUGUAGAGGCGAAAUUCGUAGAUAUUAGAAAGAACACCAAAUGCGAAGGCAACUUACUGGGUCACUACUGACACUGAGGAGCGAAAGCAUGGGUAGCGAAGAGGAUUAGAUACCCUCGUAGUCCAUGCCGUAAACGAUGUGUGCUAGACGUUGGAAAUAUAUUUUUCAGUGUCGCAGCGAAAGCAUUAAGCACACCGCCUGGGGAGUACGAC